GGUAGGAUGGCUGAGCUUAAGCGGUGGAUUGUAGCCCCACAGACAGGGGUUUGAGUCCCCUUCUUACCA
rnacentral:tRNA from 1 species